rnacentral:lncRNA from 1 species
GAGUCUGCUCACAGCAACACAGGGAUGCUGUCUCAGGGAGUGAUGAGAUUGUACCUUUCAUCACAGGAGGGCAGCACAUUUCCUGAACAUGGGCUCCUGCUUCUCACUGAGUUCCUGAGACAGAUGUCACCAUCAGAGAAAUGCCAGGAAGGAACUGGAAUGCGUCACCCACCAAGUUUAGUGGCAGCCCUAUUGCCCAGGGACAAUGCCCACCACUCAGCCAAGAACACCUGAAGAUCCUAGUGACAGUCAUCCAGUUUGGUCCCUGACUGGUAGCAGGGAGGCUCAAGAUGACAGAAGCAGAAAAGAUUAAAGAAAAUACAGGAGAAGAAAAAGAUUCUCAAAGAAAAAUCUGAGAAGGACUUGAAGCAAUGGAUGGCAGCUGUUGAAGUAAUGGAGCCUGCUAACCUAGCAGAGGAGAAGGAGGAAGAUCUUGUUUGAAUAGUCUUUUCUGUUCUGCUGCUUUUGGAAACCCCCCAACAUGGCUCCAUUUAAAUUCAGUGUGUAGGUUUGGAUGUUUGGCUAUUUAAAAAAGACAACUUGGGACCCUGCUACAGACAGGCAGGUCUGUGCAUGCCCUACCGAGGCCCUAAGGUGCAUGGAAGAAGCCGAAUCACCCUGCUGCAGACAGGCAGACACCUGAUUCCACACUACAAAGACACAGAGGACACCAGAUCACCAGAACAAGUGCACAUUUUACAACAUAGUAGGAAGCACCUGAAAAAACAGGAAGAGAAGAGAGGUGACAAGGCUGCCACAUAGGAAAAACCCCAGCAUAUGUGCUGUCAGUGUAAGCAAGAUGUGUGCAUGGAACAUGCAGUGGUCAUGUGUGAAGACUGCCUUGGAUGUGACAAUUGAAGCAAAGAUUACUUUUGUUGUAGUGUUCUAUUGGUAUUUUCAUUGUAGUUUACCUGUUUUAAUUCUGUAGUUACCUUUAAGAUUUUAUAAUCAAGUACACAGCUGAUGUGAAAAUGUGCUUAUUCUAAAUGUGCAAUGCAUAUUAAUAAUUUAAUACUUUACUUUAUAUUCCUGUUAACUACACAUUGUGUGAGCCUCCUGACCACACAGCAAGACCAGUGAGAUGCCAAGUAUGUCCUACAAAAAGGCCAGGAAAGCCAAACAUAUGUACUGUUAGCAAUACAUGUGUAUGGAAUGUGCUAUUGUUAUGUGUGACAACUGCCUUAGGUGUGAUAAUUGAAGUAAAGAUUUGUUUUUUGUAGAAUGCUAUUGGUAUUUUAAUUGUUGUUCAUAUAGAAAUUUAUUGCUAUUGUUCUUUUUUUAGAUAUUGUACAUCAAAAACCAGUCAAUGUUGAAAAUUUUGAUGCUUUUUAAAUAAAAACUCAGUAAAUAUUAAAUAUUAAAUAUUUUAUUUUUGUGAUUUUCCCUGUUAAGUCCUCAUUGUUUAAUAUAAUAAAAGUCAUAAAAUUAAAAUUGGUAAUUCAUUCAAUUCAUGGAGACCACUCUGAAUGAGCUAAAAUUCAUAAAUUGGCUUUUUAUAUUAAAAGUCUGAGUCUGCCUAUUGGUCCACAAUGGUUUGCCUGAAGAGCCAGCAGUUGGUGUGUGG